UUCUGUUUAGUUAAGUGGUCAGCGCGCUCGACUCCCAUGCCAGAGGUCCAGGUUCGAUUCCCGUUGUGGCAA
rnacentral:tRNA from 1 species